rnacentral:rRNA from 1 species
CGUAGGGUGCGAGCGUUAAUCGGAAUUACUGGGCGUAAAGCGUGCGCAGGCGGUUUUGUAAGACAGAUGUGAAAUCCCCGGGCUCAACCUGGGACCUGCAUUUGUGACUGCAAGGCUAGAGUACGGUAGAGGGGGAUGGAAUUCCGCGUGUAGCAGUGAGAUGCGUAGAUAUGCGGAGGAACACCGAUGGCGAAGGCAAUCCCCUGGACCUGUACUGACGCUCAUGCACGAAAGCGUGGGGAGCAAACAGGAUUAGAUACCCUGGUAGUCCACGCCCUAAACGAUGUCAACUGGUUGUUGGGUCUUUACUGACUCAGUAACGAAGCUAACGCGUGAAGUUGACCGCCUGGGGAGUACGGCCGCAAGGUUG